UUGGAUGUGAUGAUACUUUCCCCAAGUGAUCGACGCUAAUUAUACUAUGUUGGUGUUUUUAUCACAUUCUGUUGAAUAAUUAUCUUGAAUUAUCUUUAAGAUUCAA
rnacentral:snoRNA from 1 species